rnacentral:rRNA from 1 species
CCUACGGGUGGCUGCAGUGGGGAAUAUUGCACAAUGGGCGCAAGCCUGAUGCAGCCAUGCCGCGUGUGUGAAGAAGGCCUUCGGGUUGUAAAGCACUUUCAGCGGGGAGGAAGGCGUUAAGGUUAAUAACCUUGGCGAUUGACGUUACCCGCAGAAGAAGCACCGGCUAACUCCGUGCCAGCAGCCGCGGUAAUACGGAGGGUGCAAGCGUUAAUCGGAAUUACUGGGCGUAAAGCGCACGCAGGCGGUCUGUCAAGUCGGAUGUGAAAUCCCCGGGCUCAACCUGGGAACUGCAUUCGAAACUGGCAGGCUAGGGUCUUGUAGAGGGGGGUAGAAUUCCAGGUGUAGCGGUGAAAUGCGUAGAGAUCUGGAGGAAUACCGGGGGCGAAGGCGGCCCCCUGGACAAAGACUGACGCUCAGGUGUGAAAGCGUGGGGAGCAAACAGGAUUAGAUACCUUGUAGUC